GCCGUGAGUGGAUGGAGUUGCAUGCGCUGCCUCUGUAACGGCUGAUGUAAGCGGCACAAAUUGGCAGCCGCCAAGGGCAGAUUCUGUGAGGAUACCUUCGUGAUGACAAACAAGACGUGCAGUCAAGCUGGAGGAGGUUUCCAAGUCAUGAGGAUGAGAUUUGUCCAAACGUGGACGGCUUGCUGACUUGUGCGGGCGGAUUCUCUACCAUGGUCCCUGGUUGACCGGAACGGAAGUUUUGAUCUGGUGUAGGUGCUUUAAUCAUUUCAGUUUUUUCGACAUGUUGAUGUGAAAAAGGGUGAAGUGUGACCUAGUAAAAAGAAAGCCCCAAAAAAAGAAAGAAAGUCUGCAUUGUUACAGACUACCGUUCUACAGCAUGAGGUCGUUUUUAAAUA
rnacentral:lncRNA from 1 species